rnacentral:rRNA from 1 species
AAUCAACGCUGGCGGCGUGCCUAACACAUGCAAGUCGAGCGGGAAAGGGGGCUUCGGUCCCUGAGUAUAGCGGCGGACGGGUGAGUAACACGUGGGUAAUUUGCCCUUGGGUGUGGAAUAACUCAGGGAAACUUGAGCUAAUACCGCAUGACAUCCCCUUCACACACGAGUUGGGGAUCAAAGCCGGGGACCCUUCGGGGCCUGGCGCCUGAGGAGAAGCCCGCGCCCGAUUAGCUAGNGGUGAGGUAAUGGCUCACCAAGGCUUCGAUCGGUAGCCGGCCUGAGAGGGCGGACGGCCACACUGGGACUGAGGCACGGCCCAGACUCCUACGGGAGGCAGCAGUGGGGAAUUUUUGUCAAUGGGGGAAACCCUGAACAAGCAACGCCGCGUGGAGGACGACGACCU